rnacentral:rRNA from 1 species
AUUUUGCACAAUGGGGGCAACCCUGAUCCAGCCAUCCCGCGUGUGUGAUGAAGGCNCUNNGGUUGNANAGCACUUUUGAGAGGNNNNNAAUGACAUGAGAUAAUAACUUCUGUAGAUGACGGGACAUGUAGAAUAAGCACCGGCUCAUUACGUGCAAGCAGCCGCGGUAAUACGUAGGUUGCUAGCGUUAAUCGGAAUUACUGGGCGUAAAGGGUACGCAGGCGGCUAGGAAAGAAAGAUGUGAAAUCCCAGGGCUCAACCUUGGAACUGCAUUUUUAACUACCUGGCUAGAGUAUGUCAGAGGGGGGUAGAAUUCCACGUGUAGCAGUGAAAUGCGUAGAGAUGUGGAGGAAUACCGAUGGCGAAGGCAGCCCCCUGGGAUAAUACUGACGCUCAGGUACGAAAGCGUGGGGAGCAAACA